rnacentral:tRNA from 1 species
GGGACCGUAGCUCAGGCGGUAGAGCCACCUGCUUUGCAAGCAGGAGAUCGUCGGUUCGAGCCCGACCGGUUCCA